rfam:Reticulomyxa filosa solexa3784930_1.exp, whole genome shotgun sequence.
ACACCUUCUCGGCCUUUUGGCUAAGAUCAAGUGUAGUAUCAGUUCU